ACGCUGGCGGCGUGCCUAAUACAUGCAAGUCGAGCGAUGAUUAAAGAUAGCUUGCUAUUUUUAUGAAGAGCGGCGAACGGGUGAGUAACGCGUGGGAAAUCUGCCGAGUAGCGGGGGACAACGUUUGGAAACGAACGCUAAUACCGCAUAACAAUGAGAAUCGCAUGAUUCUUAUUUGAAAGAAGCAAUUGCUUCACUACUUGAUGAUCCCGCGUUGUAUUAGCUAGUUGGUAGUGUAAAGGACUACCAAGGCGAUGAUACAUAGCCGACCUGAGAGGGUGAUCGGCCACACUGGGACUGAGACACGGCCCAGACUCCUACGGGAGGCAGCAGUAGGGAAUCUUCGGCAAUGGGGGCAACCCUGACCGAGCAACGCCGCGUGAGUGAAGAAGGUUUUCGGAUCGUAAAACUCUGUUGUUAGAGAAGAACGUUAAGUAGAGUGGAAAAUUACUUAAGUGACGGUAUCUAACCAGAAAGGGACGGCUAACUACGUGCCAGCAGCCGCGGUAAUACGUAGGUCCCAAGCGUUGUCCGGAUUUAUUGGGCGUAAAGCGAGCGCAGGUGGUUUCUUAAGUCUGAUGUAAAAGGCAGUGGCUCAACCAUUGUG
rnacentral:rRNA from 1 species